rnacentral:rRNA from 1 species
GACGAACGCUGGCGGCGUGCCUAAUACAUGCAAGUCGAACGCUUCUUUCCUCCCGAGUGCUUGCCCUCAAUUGGAAAGAGGAGUGGCGGACGGGUGAGUAACACGUGGGUAACCUACCCAUCAGAGGGGGAUAACACUUGGAAACAGGUGCUAAUACCGCAUAACAGUUUAUGCCGCAUGGCAUAAGAGUGAAAGGCGCUUUCGGGUGUCGCUGAUGGAUGGACCCGCGGUGCAUUAGCUAGUUGGUGAGGUAACGGCUCACCAAGGCCACGAUGCAUAGCCGACCUGAGAGGGUGAUCGGCCACACUGGGACUGAGGCACGGCCCAGACUCCUACGGGAGGCAGCAGUAGGGAAUCUUCGGCAAUGGACGAAAGUCUGACCGAGCAACGCCGCGUGAGUGAAGAAGGUUUUCGGAUCGUAAAACUCUGUUGUUAGAGAAGAACAAGGACGUUAGUAACUGAACGUCCCCUGACGGUAUCUAACCAGAAAGCCACGGCUAACUACGUG